rnacentral:rRNA from 1 species
UACGGAGGGUGCGAGCGUUGCUCGGAAUCACUGGGCGUAAAGCGUACGCAGGCUGUCUCGUAAGUCGGGUGUGAAAGCCCGGGGCUCAACCCCGGAAUUGCGCCCGAGACUGCGGGGCUUGAAUGCGGGAGAGGGAAGCGGAAUUCCUGGUGUAGAGGUGAAAUUCGUAGAUAUCAGGAGGAACACCGGUGGCGAAAGCGGCUUCCUGGCCCGACAUUGACGCUCAGGUACGAAAGCGUGGGGAGCAAACAGG